rnacentral:rRNA from 1 species
UACGGUAGGGGGCAAGCGUUGUCCGGAUUUACUGGGCGUAAAGCGCGUGUAGGCGGCUACGCAGGUCCGUUGUGAAAACUGGAGGCUCAACCUCCAGACGUCGACGGAAACCGUGUGGCUAGAGUCCGGAAGAGGAGAGUGGAAUUCCGUGGUGUGAGCGGUGAAAAUGCGCAGAUAUCAGGAAGAACACCAAUGGCGAAGGCGCUCGUCGUGGGACG